rnacentral:rRNA from 1 species
UACGUAGGGUCCGAGCGUUGUCCGGAGUUACUGGGCGUAAAGAGCUCGUAGGUGGUUUGUCGCGUUGUCCGUGAAAACUCACAACUCAAUUGUGGGCGUGCGGGCGAUACGGGCAGACUGGAGUACUGCAGGGGAGACUGGAAUUCCUGGUGUAGCGGUGGAAUGCGCAGAUAUCAGGAGGAACACCGGUGGCGAAGGCGGGUCUCUGGGCAGUAACUGACGCUGAGGAGCGAAAGCGUGGGGAGCGAACAGG